rnacentral:rRNA from 1 species
AUACGUAGGGGGCGAGCGUUGUCCGGAAUUACUGGGUGUAAAGGGUGCGUAGGCGGGGAUGCAAGUCAGAUGUGAAAUGUAUGGGCUCAACCCAUGAACUGCAUUUGAAACUGCAACUCUUGAGUGAGGUAGAGGUAAGCGGAAUUCCUAGUGUAGCGGUGAAAUGCGUAGAUAUUAGGAGGAACACCGGUGGCGAAGGCGGCCUACUGGGCUUUAACUGACGCUGAGGCUCGAAAGUGUGGGGAGCAAACAGGAUUAGAUACCCUGGUAGUCCACACUGUAAACGAUGAUUGCUAGGUGUGGGGGGUCUGACCCCUUCCGUGCCGCAGUAAACACAGUAAGCAUUCCGCCUGGGGAGUACGGUCGCAAGAUUAAAACUUAAAGGAAUUGACGGGG